GAGUGAUUACAGGUCUUUUAGAAUUUGUCUGGCAGGUUUUCUGGUUUUCACAGGAAAGCCCUC
rnacentral:snRNA from 1 species